AUGCCUUAAAUGUAUGAGUAAGGAAAAUAAUGACUCAGGGUGAUGCCCAAAUUCUCACUAAUGUGAGAUGAAUUUUUGAACCAGUAAAGGACAUUCCUAAGGUGAAUAGCCAACUACUUU
ensembl:snRNA U12 U12 minor spliceosomal RNA